rnacentral:rRNA from 1 species
UACGAAGGGUGCUAGCGUUGUUCGGAAUUACUGGGCGUAAAGCGCGCGUAGGCGGUCUAACAAGUCAGAGGUGAAAUCCUUGGGCUCAACCCAAGAAUUGCCUUUGAAACUGUUAGACUAGAGUGUCGGAGGGGAUAGCGGAAUUCCUAAUGUAGAGGUGAAAUUCGUAGAUAUUAGGAGGAACACCGGUGGCGAAGGCGGCUAUCUGGACGACAACUGACGCUGAGGCGCGAAAGCACGGGGAUCAAACAGG